GCCCUCAGCACAACUGCGCUCACCUGUCCCAUGUGACACCAACAAGAACCUGGCGGAGGGGACUGUCCCAAAGCCCAGUGAGAACCUGAAGUAGUCGUUCAUUGACCUGAGCCUGGCCCUAGAGGUCUUUAAGGGCACAAAUUAAACUCAAACCACGAUCGAUGGGGUCAAUGCGUGGCGCCAACCAUGCAGAUGUUGAAACUGAGCUGGAAAGGUCAGGUUCCUGCCCAGAACUCAUUAUGCAGAAAACCCCAAUCCUGAUCUCUUCGCUUGCAGCAUAUUUAAGGGGAAAUCUAACCAUGUGCCCCUGUUGUCAGAGGGCUGGUGGCCUUUCAGCCCAAAGUUGAAUUCAAAGACAAUUUUCUCAGGUUCCAGGUGGACCUUGAAGGUAGAGUAAGAGCAGUUCUUGGUUAUUUUCUGGCCUUUUAAUCCCAUCACCACUCCCCCUUAGUAAUCCCAUCUCAGGUUGGCAGAGCAGGCCCCAAAGCCAUCUGAGUCAUAGGUGUGACCAGUGUACUGUCCAGUGGUCUAGAGGCCUGGGUUCCAGGUGCUGCUCUCUGAAUUGGCCAUCUUGGCCAAGUCAUGAAGCACUCCUGAGCACUGACAAUAGAGUUUUGGUCAAAGAAAUCACCGUAGUCCUACGUCUGGUGGAACUGAGAUGUGGUGUUGUUUCUGUAGCCCCUGCCUGGGGCCGGGCAGCUCAUUCUUCUAUCUGGGGUAUGAGUGAACCAGCCAGGGGCAGUCUACCAGUGGGAUCCUCCUGCCUGGACCCCAGGAAAAGGGUCAACAUAGGGAGAUCUGAGGGUUGUCUCAUUGGGGUGAGGGUUUGGGAGUGGGCUUGAUCAGAGAGGAUUUCUACUUGUUGGUGAGAUGAAGAGAGCAGGCCAAUGUAGAGGGUCCUAUCUGCCCCUCCCCUGCUGUGGACACUUGGGAAAUCAUUGAACUCUGUGGACUUGUUUCUCCAUCUGCAAAAUGGAUGUUUUCAUAGUAAUAAGAGUCAAGGUUGAGAUUAAAUGGGAGAAGAUAUAUAAAGGGCCUGAUGAUCACACAUUUCAAUCCCUACCUUUCAGAGUUGAUUAUAUGGCUGGAUGAGUGUGAGGCUGGGGAAUUGAGGCCUGGUCCUCCAGAGUCCUGAAUGUCCUGCUGGGGUGCCUGGGCUUUCUGCCCCAGGCAGAGGGAGCUAAAGAUGAUGUGAGCAGAGGGAAGCAGUGGUACCUCGCCUGGGAGCCCUAGCCUGCUGGGGGUAAUGACAGGGCCCAGCCCUGGAGAAAGGUCCCUCUGGACCACAAACAUAGGAGCUGCUUGACCUGGCAAGCUCAUUCAUAGAGAGCUCAGCACACACAUGAAGUGCACCUGUGUGAGACCAGGAGCGACCUCUGGGGCCACCCCGGGGGCUGCUAACACACUGUGGCCUAUGCACACGGUGAAGAUGGUACAGCCUUUACUGGGAUACUGGCAGCUGGGGAUGUGCUGGCACAGAAAGGGCUCUAGACCCAGAAAAAGACACACCUGAGGGCAGUGGUGUGCCAUUGUCCAGGGGACAGAAGUGCAGACUAGUUCUGGACUCCCAGGAAGAGCCCCUGGCCAAGGCCGCCUCCAGGAAAGGAUCUGGGAGCUUCAGGGCCAGGGUGGGGCCAGCUCUACCUUUCCACUGCCAUCCCUGGGGACCUGAAGUUCUGAGCCACACGCAUGAGUUAUGAUUCAAAGCACAGGUGAGUGAUGGGCCCUGAGGUCUAGACCAAGCUUGGCCACACGGAUACAGAAAGGGGACAGGCCAGGACAUCCUGGAGCUCUGGGUUUGGUCCUGGCUGUUUGCCUACUUCCUCUUCCUAGGUGGCCCUAGGGAAAGCUGUGGGUUCUUUCCUGUCUUUCCUUACUCUUGGGGUCGUUUUGGCCCUGGGGUGUUUUCAUAUUGUGGCUUGUUAAAUAGGGGUACGGUUGGUUGAUGGGGUCACAUUUGAAGAGGCACCUACUGUGGUAGGUGGUGCAGGGGACAAGCCUGGGGCUGGCAGUCAGGAGACCCGGGCUCAAGACCUCACCUGGCCUCUCCCUGCCUGCAUGGUUCUGGAUCACCAUCACUCUGCUUCCCCGUGCCUCAGUUUCCCCAUCUACACGUGGGGGGUGGGGGUUAUAAACCAUGGCUAUGCAUGCACCUAAUGGGCCUAGCUACACGAGCCUGCCAUUGCCACUCCUCCCUCCCCAGUGUGCAGUGAGGUCACAGUCCUUGCCCUGCCUCCUUCCUGAAUGGUGGGGUCAGGAAGUUGAUGGCAGUCAACUCUUGACAUUUCCAGUGAUAGACAGCUACAAAUGUGCCAAUUUAAAAUGCCUCUGAAAUAACAGCUAACAUUUGCUGAGGCCAGGCACCGCCUGGAGGACUUCAUGUUUUCACUGCCUCCUUCCUGCUCCCCAGAAUGUAAACUCCAGCGGCCAGGGAUAUUUGUUCUGCAUGCUGAUGUCCACGGUGCUCAGCACACAGCAGGCGCUCUGCAGAGAGGAGUGGGGUGAACAGAUCUCGACGUGGCCCUGCGCAGUGGGUCUGGAAUUCUCCCUAAUUCAUUAAAGAGGAAACUGAGGGCCUCAGGUGAUGUGUGUGGCCAAUAAUGAGCAACCAAUCCAUGGGGCUGCUGUUGGGUCCCACACAUUCAGGGUCCAGAACCCACACUUUUAGCCAUAAUGCUCCCCCGAGAGAAGGGUGAGAGUCAAGUCUGACAGGCGGGGGCGUCUCCUCCACACCAGCCUCCCUCAGAGCUCUCCAUGUGUGUCCCAGCAAAGUGGCGCUUGGUUUCAGGGGUUUGCUGUAACUUAUGGGUGUCUGACAUGCAGAGGUCAUGUCACUGGGUGGCUGAGCCUAACAGACUCCAGGGCACAGAAGAAUGUGUGUGGAGUGCAACCCAGGCCCUUGCUCCUGGAGCCAGCACUGUCAUAAGUAAUGGCGCCGUCCCCUUUGCCUGAUCCUCCCUGUGUGAUCUUCACCAUGGGCCAGGCCCACCUCACAGAUGGAGGCCGACUCAGACAGGUCUAGUGACCUUCCCCAGGCAACAGGUGCAGAGAGUGGCGGAGCAGGGUUCUCUGUGAAACAAAAUCCUGCCUGAAAAGCCAAUGAUCUAAAAGUCACUGUCCCCUGUGAUUUGAGCAUAGAAGGUCUGUGCCCAUGGAGACCUUACUGGAUGGACUCUUUUUCCUCUUCAGUUUUUGUCCAUCAGUUGAUUUUCUGCAGCGCUGUUAGCUCCAUUCUUAAAAACAAACAAGAACAACAGCCUCUAGGGCUCUGUCACUUUCCUGUUUCUUGUAGCCGAGGUCCUCGCUAGGCAGUGCUGUCCGCGUGGUGGCGCACUUGCUGACGCAGAGCCCUCUGUGUGGCUCUAUUUAGGGCAGAGGCAAUUUAGCAUAAAUCCUGCAGGAGAAAUUCAACAAGAACAAAAAGCCUCUGAGAAAAAUAUCCCAGCAGCCUGCCCAAGAGCCUUUGUCUCAGUAACUAUGGUUUCUGGGUAAACUAAGAAACCACUCAGAAGAAUUUUUAUUUUAAUAAGGAAGCUAAAACAAAGGGUUAAGGAUGGCCUUAACUUGAUAAGCACAUUUAUUUUGAUUUUUUUUUUACUUAAAAUACUAGAAUAUGGAGAAUUAAAGUAAAAUGUAUUAAAAUAUUCCCUCUGGUUACACAAAACAAAACGCUUCUCUGGUGCUACAGCAGAGGAGCUAAGUAGGAAAAGAGAACACGGUGGCCACCUAACAGGGGCCAAGCUGACCUGGCCCAUGUCCUGCCUGACCCCAGGCGGUUUGGGGUCUCCUUUGGAGGGCUCUAGCUCUAACAGAAGUCCUAAGUGUGCUUCCAGGCUUGGCAGUGCCACUUAAUGGCCAUGGCACACCGUCUUUUGUCCCUUCCUGUGGGAUGGAAUGGUGAUCUGCUUCAAGUGGGGCAUGUGGUUUCUUAGUUUACCCAGAAACCAUAGUUACUAAAACAAAGGCACAGAUUUGGGACCUGUGCAUCUGAGAGCCCCUGGUAGAGAUGGCCAUGGCCCCCAGUGGUGAGCAGUAAUGAGACUGGACCCAGCGGCAGGGGAGCUCUCCAGGGUGCUAAAAGUGUCCUUUGCAGAUUCCGGGAGCUGCCAGUGAGGAUGUCAUUCAUGGAGCACUACUUUGUGCUUGCCACCUGGCUCCCUCUGCAGCAUUAUCUUGUUAACAUACAACGUCACUAUCUGGGCUUUGCCACCUGCUCCUUAAUGCCCUGACCCUGCCUAACCUGCAUGUGGCCAGCCCACCUCUGUCCUGGGGCUCCUGCACAUGUGACCUGGCAGUUGCAGCACCACUCCCCCCACCUGCUGGACCUAAGGCUUACUGUGUCUCCUGCCCAGAAAGCCCAAGUAGGCAAGUUGGCGAGGGAACUUGGAAACCCAGAAGCUGAUAUGGUUGAGUUGGGGGUUCUAAGGCCAUACUUUGAUUAUCUCCACCAUUUUUGCUGCAUGCAUGUUUGGUUUAGGAGAAUAUGAAACUGAGACCUGAGACAGGGACAUCUGGGCUGUUUUUCUGUAACUCCCAACCCCUAUAGUGAAUUGUUGCAAUUUUUGAUAUGUUGUCUGCCUUCUCCAUCAGAUAAUGAGCCACUGGAAGGCAGGGCCUGUGUCUAGCCUCCAGCCAUCCAUGGGGACUUGACCACAGUGAGGGCUCUAAUACUUGGUAAGUCCAUAAAUGAAAUGUACUUGCAGCUUGGAUUUCUUCCUGAGAACUGGCUCAGUGCAGGAAGGGCCUGUGUCGUAACAUCCCAUACUGACUAAGCACUUACUGGGGCCUGGCUCUGUUCUCAGGACUGCACAAAAUUUGUCACAGUCAAUGCUCACUACAACCCACGAGGUAGUGACAACUGCGAUCCUCAUUUAUGAUUGCAAGACUGAGGCAUGGGCUACUAAUAAUUUGCCAAAUUCCACAGGUGGGAGCAGGGCUGGUACAGGAACCCAGGGUUGGCAUCUGUCAAGCUCAGAAGUCAGCCCUCUGCCUGCUGCACCCCAGCACCACAGCCAGGUCCCGCCCCACUGUGAACCCAGCAACUUACACCUUGGUCUGCAUCCUGCAGCUUGGACAGGAGGGAAGGUCCUGACUUCCACACCUGCAGGUGACCAUGGAGCUGCCCAGUCUCCCCUCAAGUGGACGAUCACUGGUGCUCUGCAGAGUUGCUAGGAGGUGCUGAAGGGUGUGGAGGCGCCUGCGUUUCCUGUGGACGUGUGGAGAUUCGUGGACCUCAGCUGACGUGGGACCUCCCGAGUUGGGCACUGACCCUCCAGCUGACAGCACAGAGCCCCCUGAGAGUGUGCUUGUGGCCAGAGGAGGCUUAGUGAGUCCCCAAAUCAGGCUGAGCCCUUUUCUGAGACCAGCUUUUUCAAACCCACCUCCUUUGUUCUCCGUCAGGACCAGGGUCUCCAGGAAGUGAAGCUGAGGGCCAGGGCCUGGAGAGGAGACAGGUGCCCCUGGGGUGCUGGGCUGGAACCCUCCCAGAGGUGCCUUCUGGAUGGCUGGGCGGGAUUGCCGCCUUACUUACUUGGAGAGGCAGGGAGGGAGGGAGCUCAGCCCCACCGACUCCUGCCUCCUGGCCCCGGAAGACAGGUUUUGGACUUUGAGGUCUAGGAUUGUGAGAGAAAUAAAUUUCUGUUAUUUGUGA